AUACAUAUAUAUACAUACAUACUGAAAUUGGAAGGAGACGGAAGAGAAGAUUAGCAUGGCUCCUGCAUAAGGAUAUACAUGCAUCUAUACAUACAUACAUACAUAU
rfam:Octopus bimaculoides Scaffold41243_contig_88, whole genome shotgun sequence.